rnacentral:rRNA from 1 species
AGAGUUUGAUCAUGGCUCAGAUUGAACGCUGGCGGCAUGCCUUACACAUGCAAGUCGAACGGCAGCGCGGGGCAACCUGGCGGCGAGUGGCGAACGGGUGAGUAAUAUAUCGGAACGUACCCUGGAGUGGGGGAUAACGUAGCGAAAGUUACGCUAAUACCGCAUACGAUCUAAGGAUAAAAGUGGGGGAUCGCAAGACCUCAUGCUCCUGGAGCGGCCGAUAUCUGAUUAGCUAGUUGGUGGGGUAAAGGCCUACCAAGGCAUCGAUCAGUAGCUGGUCUGAGAGGACGACCAGCCACACUGGAACUGAGACACGGUCCAGACUCCUACGGGAGGCAGCAGUGGGGAAUUUUGGACAAUGGGCGCAAGCCUGAUCCAGCAAUGCCGCGUGAGUGAAGAAGGCCUUCGGGUUGUAAAGCUCUUUUGUCAGGGAAGAAACGGUGAGGGCUAAUAUCCCUUGCUAAUGACGGUACCUGAAGAAUAAGCACCGGCUAACUACGUGCCAGCAGCCGCGGUAAUACGUAGGGUGCAAGCGUUAAUCGGAAUUACUGGGCGUAAAGCGUGCGCAGGCGGUUUUGUAAGUCUGUCGUGAAAUCCCCGGGCUCAACCUGGGAAUUGCGAUGGAGACUGCAAGGCUAGAAUCUGGCAGAGGGGGGUAGAAUUCCACGUAGCAGUGAAAUGCGUAGAGAUGUGGAGGAACACCGAUGGCGAAGGCAGCCCCCUGGGUCAAGAUUGACGCUCAUGCACGAAAGCGUGGGGAGCAAACAGGAUUAGAUACCCUAGUAGUCC